GAUGAACGCUGGCGGCGUGCCUAAUACAUGCAAGUCGAGCGAACGGACGAGAAGCUUGCUUCUCUGAUGUUAGCGGCGGACGGGUGAGUAACACGUGGAUAACCUACCUAUAAGACUGGGAUAACUUCGGGAAACCGGAGCUAAUACCGGAUGAUAUUUUGAACCGCAUGGUUCAAAAGUGAAAGACGGUCUUGCUGUCUCUUAUCGAUGGAUCCGCGCUGCAUUAGCUAGUUGGUAAGGUAACGGCUUACCAAGGCAACGAUGCAUAGCCGACCUGAGAGGGUGUUCGGCCACACUGGACCUGGGACACGGUCCAGACUCCUACGGGAGGCAGCAGAAGGGAAUCUUCCGCAAUGGGGGAAAGCCUGCCGGAGCAACGCCGCGUGGGGGAGGAAGGUCUUCGGAUCGUAAACCUCUGUUAUUAGGGAAGAACAGAUGUGUAAGUAACUGUGCACAUCUUGACGGUACCUAAUCAGAAGGCCACGGCUAACUACGUG
rnacentral:rRNA from 1 species